AAACAUCGCCUCCUGCAGUAUAUAGGAGGUCCAGCCUGCCCAGUGACCAAGUUAAACGGCCGCGGUACCCUAACCGUGCGAAGGUAGCGCAAUCACUUGUUCUUUAAAUGAGGACUAGUAUGAAUGGCAUCACGAGGGUUACACUGUCUCCCACCUCUAAUCAGUGAAACUGAUCUCCCUGUGAAGAAGCGGGGAUAAAACUAUAAGACGAGAAGACCCCAUGGAGCUUCAAACCCGGCAUCAACCAUUAACAUUAAUACCACAUUAAAUAAAUGGACCUGACUGCUGGUUUUAGGUUGGGGUGACCGCGGAGCAUAACAAAACCUCCAUGAUGAACGACCUCCUCUCUAAUCCGAGAGCCACCACUCAAAGAAUCAAAAAAUUGACAUUUAUUGACCCAAACUAUUUUGAUCAACGAACCAAGUUACCCUGGGGAUAACAGCGCAAUCCAUUUCAAGAGCCCCUAUCGACAAAUGGGUUUACGACCUCGAUGUUGGAUCAGGGUAUCCUAGUGGUGCAGCCGCUACUAAAGGUUCGUUUGUUCAACGAUUAGAACCCUACGUGAUCUGA
rnacentral:rRNA from 1 species